AGCGAAAUAUAACAAGUUGCUCUCACAAUGGAUGGGGAAAUCAUAGUUGCGUGCAUUCGCAAGACGUUGGAAUUGAAUGCACUAACACAGCUUCAAAUGUGUCGGUGAGAUUACAAGGGCCUUCAAGU